ensembl:lncRNA
ACUCCAAGCAUCUCUAGGGACGCUCCAGGUACCGCCCCACAGAGCUCUCUUCUCUCAAAAAGAAGUCUGGGAGCUGUGGAGCCUCCGACACGGCGCUGCGCGCACCUGAGAGGCUGGCGCCUUCGCCUCACCGUCCUCGGCCCGGCCGCGGGCAGCCCACGGGCCCGGCACGAGGAACCAGAGCCCCGGCCGCCCGGCCAGCACCUUGCGUCGCGCGUGGGCGUGUUUCGCUUCAGAAAUCCCGGGUCGUCUCAGGCGCCCCGUCCUUCCCCGGGAAACAAUCGCCGGUCCGGCCGGGAGUUCCCCGCCGCUCGAUUCCAGGCGGCUCCCUGGGUUCCCCAGUCCCUUCCGCGUCCUUCCCGGGUCUCGGCCGCGCGGCCAGGUGUCCCCGCACCCCGCGCUGCCCCGCGCCCGGGCCUUCCGACUCUCCAGUGCUUGGGUCCGCGCUCGUGCUGCGGGUCCAGCCUCUCUUCCCACCCGGCUCCGCCCAGCCUCCGCCGCGCCGGGGCUCCCGGCCCGGCCUCCCAGUCUCCCUCCCACCUCCGCCCCCCCACCCCCUCCCAGAGAGUUGCUAUUUUUAGCCAAUCCUCCGCGCGCCGCCACCGGCUCUGCUCACAGCUCGCAGCCGCGCGGCCGCCCUCCCAAACCAGCCCCCAACCCCGCGCCGCGGUGGCCGCGGCGGCGGCGGCGGCGCAUCCCGCACAUCGCAUAGCGCGCACCCCGCGCACCCCGCGCACCCAGCCCGCCCCGCCGCGCCCGCCGCCCUCGCCGCCGUCUCCUCCUCAGGCGCCUGUCGCGGCCGCAUCAAGAAAUUAUGAAACAUCUAAUGCUUCGAUUACGAUCUGCACGUACUGUGUUUUGCUAUUCUUUCAUUUUUGGAGAGUCACAGAGAAGUAAGUUGGCAAGUUUUACAAGCUGCUUUGUAAUCUGUUGGAUUGUAUGAGACACCUGUAGUCGGCUGAAUGAUGGCACCGCGUGAGACACCCACUGCCUUACCCUUGGAACUUGUGAGUGCUGCCUUAUGUGGCUGAAAAGGGUCUUGGCAUUUAUGAUUAAAGAGUUUGCGACUACUGUGAUUGUUGUGUAUUAUCUAGGUGGGCCCUAAAUGCAUUCACAUAUAUCCUCCUAAGUGGGAGGCAGAGGGACAUUUGAUACAUACAGAAAAGGAGAAGGCAAUGUGACCUCGGGGCCAGUGACUGGAGUGAUGCUGCCACAGUCACGGAAUAUCAACAGCCACCAGGAAUGGCAAGAAACGCAUCCUCUCUGAGAGCCUCUGGCAGGAUUGGGGUCCUGCUGAUACCUUGUCCAGUGAGAUUGUUGUUGGACUUUUGACUUCCAGAACUUCUGUCAGUUCAGUUCUGUCACUCAGUCAUGUCUGAAUCUUUGUGAUCCCAUGGACCGAAGCACACCAGGCUUCCUUGUCCAUCAUCAACUCCUGGAGCUUGUUCAAACUCAUGUCGAUCGAGUUGGUGAUGCCAUCCAGCCAUUUCAUCCCCGGACAUCCCCUUCUCCUGCCUUCUAUCUUUCCCAGCAUCAGGGUCUUUUCUAAUGAGUCAGUUCUUUGCAUCAGGUAGCCGAAGUAUUGGAGCUUCAGCUUCAGCAUCAGUCCUUCCAGUGAAUAUUUAGGACUGAUUUCCUUUAGGAUGGACUGGUUGGAUCUCCUUGCUGUCCAAGGGACUCUCAAAAGUCUUUUCCAACACCACAGUUCAAAAGCAUCAAUUCUUUAGCGCUCAGCUUUCUUUAUAGUCCAACUCUCACAUCCAUACAUGACUACUGGAAACACCAUAGCUUUGACUAGACGGACCUUUGUUGUCAAAGUAAUGUCUCUGCUUUCUGUCUAAGUGGGUCAUAGCUUUCCUUCCAAGCAGCAAGCAUCUUUUAAUUUCAUGUCUGUAGUCACUAUCUGCAGUGGUUUCGGAGCCUGAGAAAGUCUGUCACUGUUUCCAUUGUUUCCACAUCUGUUUGCCUUGAAGUGAUGGGACCGGAUGCCAUGAUCUUGGUUUUCUGAAUGUUGAGUUUUAAGCCAGCUUUUUCACUUUCCUCUUUCACUUUCAUCAAGAGGCUCUUAGUUCUUCUUCGCUUUCUGCCAUAGAGUGGUGUCAUUUGCAUAUCUGGGGUUAUUGAUAUUUCUCCCGGCAGUCUUGAUUCCAGCUUGUGCUUCAUCCAGCCCAGCAUUUUGCAUGAUGUACUCUGCAUAUAAGUUAAAUAAGCAGGGUGACAAUAUACAGCCUUGAUGUACUCCUUUCCCAGAUUGGAACCAAUCUGUUCUUCCAUAUCUGGUUCUAACUGUUGCUUCCUGAUCUGCAUACAGAUUUCUAAGGAGGCAGGUCAGGUGGUCUGGUAUUCCUAUAUCUCAAAGAAUUUCUACAGUUUGUUGUGAUUACACAGUCAAAGGCUUUGGAGUAGUCAAUAAAGCAGAAGUAGAUGUUUUUCUGAAAUUCUUUUGGUUUUUCUGUGAUCCAGCAAAUGUUGGCAAUUUGAUCUCUGAUGCCUCUGCCUUUUCUAAAUCCAGCUUGAACAUUUGGAAGCUCUCGGUUCAUGGACUGUUGAAGCCUUGCUUGGAGAAUUUUGAGCAUUACUUUACUAGCGUGUGAGAUGAGUGCAAUUAUGUGGUAGUUUGAACAGUCUUUGGCAUUGCCUUUCUUUGGAAUUGGAAUGAAAACUGACCUUUUCCAGUCCUCUGGCCACUGCUGAGUUUUCCAAAAUUACUGGCUUAUUGAGUGCAGCACUUUCACAGCAUAAUCUUUUAGGAUUUGAAAUAACUCAACUGGAAUUCCAUCACCUCCACUAGCUUUGUUCGUAGUAAUGCUUCUUAAGGCCCACUUGACUUUGCACUCCAGGAUGCCUGGCUCUAGGUCAGUGAUCACAGCAUCAUGGUUAUCUGGGUCAUAAAGAUCUUUUUUGUAUAGUUCUUCUGUGUAUUCUUGCCACCUCUUCAUAAUGUCUUCUGCUUCUGUUAGGUCCAUACCGUUUCUGUCCUUUAUUGUGACCAUCUUUGCAUGAAAUGUUCCCUUGGUAUCUUUAAUUUUCUUGAAAAGAUCUCUAGUCUUUCCCAUUCUAUUGUUUUCCUUUAUUUCUUUGCCUUGAUCACUGGGAAGGCUAUCUUAUCUCUCUCCUUGCUAUUCUUUGGAACUCUGCAUUCAAAUGGGUAUAUCUUUCCUUUUCUCCUUUGCCUUUUGCUUCUGUAGAGAAGAAAUUCUGUUGUUUAGAGGCACCAAGUUUGUAAUAAUUUUUUUAGGAUAACCUUAGGAAACUAAUAGAGCACCACAGAGAAAUCCAGGUUCUCCACUAACCUCAGUCCAUGAAUAAAUUAAGGGCAGGAUGCAGGCCUUUCCCCCACAGCCAGGGAGGAGCCUCUGAUGAAAAACCAGUAGUGGCAAGGUAACACCCUGCUUAGGGAUUUUUGGCAUCAGGGGAAUGACCUCUGUUUCUUCAAAGACAGAAUUGGUCUAAAGAAAUGAUUAAUUGGUAUAAAUUUGUUGUAUUUUUAAAGAUUGGAAUACCAGUGUAUAAGUUGUUUUACAAGUUUUUUUCUUUGAGCACACUCAAAUCAGAAAAAACUUAUAUAUUUUCUUCCCCAGGACUUAGAAUAAGUUAUGUCACUCUGGCUAGAUCUAGAUUUCAUUCCAUUUUCUUAUUAUUGUUUUAAUUCAAGUGAACAAAAUUAGCAAGGUGUAUCAAUACUUUGUAUCAUGUAGGAGAAAUUGUUAAUAAUUAUGUUUAGAUAAUUGAUUAUUCAAGAUUUUCCUACUAUUUAGCUGUGCAAUAACUACACUGCACUGUAGGCAGGUUCUUUACCAUCUGAGUCACUAGUGACUAUUAUAAUUAGUCACCUAAUUAUAAUAACUUAGGCUUUUUAUAUUACUGCUUGGUAUGCAAUACUUAGAAAAAGUAACAUUAAUUUUUUUUCUUUCUAAUACCAAAGAUUUUAAUCUAUAUGCCAAUGUCAUUGAAUAUAUAUCCUGUUCUUCUUUCUUUAAAUUUUCUCUUGUAAGAGUAGUAUCAGAUUUAAAACAAAGCAGUUCUGAUGAUAACAGCAUUUAAUUUGGAGGUCACUCAUAUUUUGAAUGGGAAAUCAAAUUGUAAGU